GGCGUAAUGGGCAAAGAUGAGCGUGAAGGCAACAGCCCAUCCUUCUUCAACCCUGAAGAGGCUGCCACAGUGACUUCUUACCUGAAGCUGCUCCUGGCCCCCUCCUCCAAGAAGGGCAAAGCCCGCCUGAGCCCUCGAAGCGUGGGCGUCAUCUCCCCGUACCGGAAACAGGUGGAGAAAAUCCGUUACUGCAUCACCAAACUUGACAGGGAGCUUCGAGGACUGGAUGACAUUAAGGACUUGAAGAACACUUUGCAGGCCCCAGCCCUCAGCAGGAUUCACCCUUCAGGUUUCAGCUUCCAGAGCCUACCUCCCAUCCCCUUUCCCUGGGCCGUGUCGCAGCACUGGUUCACUCUCUGAUCUACAAUUGCCCAGUGACCUCUCUGUACCCUCCUUGGAAGGCAAGCUCCCUGGGGUAGGGCACCCCUUUGACACCCCUGGCUGGUCUCAGGCCCUGCCUCUUUCCCCACUAGGUGGGUUCAGUGGAAGAAUUCCAAGGCCAAGAACGAAGCGUCAUCCUCAUCUCCACCGUGCGAAGCAGCCAGAGCUUUGUGCAGCUGGAUCUGGACUUUAAUCUGGGUUUCCUUAAGAACCCCAAGAGGUUCAAUGUAGCUGUGACCCGGGCCAAGGCCCUGCUCAUCAUCGUGGGGAACCCCCUUCUCCUGGGCCAUGACCCUGACUGGAAAGUGUGAGCAUUCCCACCCCAUUCUCCCUCUUAGUGGCCACAGCCCCUGCCUAGGGCAGGUGGAUCUUUUUUAAGCACUUAUCGCUCAGUUAAUCCUCAGAUGUGUCCAUUUUCACAGCAUCCCUAUUGUAUUUAUAAGUUAAAUGACAUCCAGAGGUUGAGCAAGUACAGCUCAGAUGGGACAGGACCGUGGCUUAGCCUCCAGUCUCUGCUGGCACUCCUCUGUACCCCACAGAUUCCUGGAGUUCUGUAAAGAAAACGGAGGGUAUACCGGGUGUCCCUUCCCUGCCAAACUGGACCUGCAACAGGGACAGAAUUUACUGCAAGGUCUGAGCAAGCUCAGCCCCUCUACCUCAGGUAUGGCUGGGCCAGGGUGGGGACAGUGCCAGAGGAGGUGGUAAGGAAGACACAGUGUACUUUCUUUCUUUCCAGGGCCCCAUAGUCAUGACUACCUCCCCCAGGAGCGGGAGGGUGAAGGGGGCCUGUCUCUGCAAGUGGAGCCAGAGUGGAGGAAUGAGCUCUGAAGACACAGCACCCAGCCUUCUCGCACCAGCCAAGCCUUAACUGCCUGCCUGACCCUGAACCAGAACCCAGCUGAACUGCCCCUCCAAGGGACAGGAAGGCUGGGGGAGGGAGUUUACAACCCAAGCCAUUCCACCCCCUCCCCUGCUGGGGAGAAUGACACAUCAAGCUGCUAACAAUUGGGGGAAGGGGAAGGAAGAAAACUCUGAAAACAAAAUCUUGUUCUAUGCAAAA
rnacentral:sRNA from 1 species